rnacentral:rRNA from 1 species
UACAGAGGUCUCGAGCGUUAGGCGGAAUCACUGGGCUUAAAGCGUGUGUAGGCGGGUCGUUAAGUACCUUGUGAAAUCCCAUGGCUCAACCAUGGAACUGCUGGGUAUACUGGCGAUCUUGUGCAACCUAGGGGCGAGCGGAACAGAUGGUGGAGCGGUGAAAUGCGUAGAUAUCAUCUGGAACGCCAAUGGUGAAAACAGCUCGCUGGGGGUUUGCAGACGCUGAGACACGGAAAAGCCAGGGGAGCGAACGGG